GACGGACGCUGGCGGCGUGCCUAAUACAUGCAAGUCGAACGCUUCUUUCCUCCCGAGUGCUUGCACUCAAUUGGAAAGAGGAGUGGCGGACGGGUGAGUAACACGUGGGUAACCUACCCAUCAGAGGGGGAUAACACUUGGAAACAGGUGCUAAUACCGCAUAACAGUUUAUGCCGCAUGGCAUAAGAGUGAAAGGCGCUUUCGGGUGUCGCUGAUGGAUGGACCCGCGGUGCAUUAGCUAGUUGGUGAGGUAACGGCUCACCAAGGCCACGAUGCAUAGCCGACCUGAGAGGGUGAUCGGCCACACUGGGACUGAGACACGGCCCAGACUCCUACAGGAGGCAGCAGUAGGGAAUCUUCGGCAAUGGACGAAAGUCUGACCGAGCAACGCCGCGUGAGUGAAGAAGGUUUUCGGAUCGUAAAACUCUGUUGUUAGAGAAGAACAAGGACGUUAGUAACUGAACGUCCCCUGACGGUAUCUAACCAGAAAGCCACGGCUAACUACGUG
rnacentral:rRNA from 1 species